rfam:Dietzia timorensis strain ID05-A0528, complete genome.
CUCGGUCCUCGGUAGUGGCAGCCGAACAUUCGCGUAGAACGCGCAGGACUUUCCCACACUUUCGGCUGCUUCGAUCGAAGGCCGCC